rnacentral:rRNA from 1 species
UGGGGGGAGAGUGCGAACGGGUGAGUACACGUAGGAUAUCUGCCUUCAGGUCUGGGAUAACCCCGGGGAAACCGGGGCUAAAUACCGGAUAUAUGGCAGCAUUUAAGGUGGGGACCUUCGGGCCUAUCGCCUGAAGAUGAGUCCGCGUCCCAUUAGCUUGUUGGUGGGGUAAUGGCCUACCAAGGCGACGAUGGGUAGCCGGCCUGAGAGGGUGUACGGCCACAUUGGGACUGAGAUACGGCCCAGACUCCUACGGGAGGCAGCAGUUAAGAAUCUUGCGCAAUGGGCGAAAGCCUGACGCAGCGACGCCGCGUGGACGAUGAAGGCCUUCGGGUUGUAAAGUCCGGUAAGCAGGGAAGAAUAAGUGUAAAGUAAUAUCUUGCACGAUGACGGUACCUGCCUAAAGCCCCGGCUAACUACGUGCCAGCAGCCGCGGUAAUACGUAUGGGGCAAGCGUAGUUCGGAAUUAUUGGGCAUAAAGGGCGUCUAAGCGGGGGACUAAGUUAGGUGUGAAAGCCAUGGGCUCAACCCAUGAAUUGCACCUAAGAACUGGUUUACUUGAGUACGGGAGAGGAGAGCGGAAUUCCC